AAAAAGGAGAAGAAAUCCAUACUAAAAACGUCUUCAAGCUCUUUAGCUCGUCAUCAAGCUCUUCAGCUCGUCUUCAAGCUCUUCAGCUCGUCAUCAAGCUCUUCAGCUCGUCAUCAAGCUCUUCAGCUCGUCAUCAAGCUCUUCAGCUCGUCAUCAAACUCUUCAGCUCGUCAUCAAGCUCUUCAACUCGUCAUCAAGCUCUUCAGCUCGUCAUCAAGCUCUUCAGCUCGUCUGCAAGCUAUUCAGCUCGUCAUCAAGCUCUUCAGCUCGUCAUCAAGCUCUUCAGCUCGUCAUCAAACUCUUCAGCUCGUCAUCAAACUCUUCAGCUCGUCAUCAAGCUCUUCAGCUCGUCAUCAAACUCUUCAGCUCGUCAUCAAGCUCUUCAGCUCGUCAUCAAGCUCUUCAGCUCGUCUGCAAGUUCUUCAGCUCAUCUUCAAGCUAUUCAGCUCGUCUUCAAGCUCCUCAGCUCGUCAUCAAGCUCUUCAGCUCGUCUUCAAGCUCUUCAGCUCGCCUAACGAUCCAGAUCGUCAAUCUCAUCUCC
rnacentral:lncRNA from 1 species